UGAUGAAUGAAUGAAUAGCUGAAAUUCCCGUUCGCAUGUCCAGGUGUUUCACUGGGCAUGUGCGGGAAUCUCAGUGUCUGCCUAGUGUGGGCUGAUGACGUGUCCCUGAGGGACUUCAUCUACCCACACAAAGAUGGCUGCGCCCUGAAUCAAGAUCGGGGCAGAAAAUAAGGAUUUAAAAAUAGGUAAUGUAGGGGGCUUAGGGGCAUUUGGGGGUGACUAGUGGGUCAGUUAGAGAUAGUGGAGGCCGGAGGGGGGUUAAAAAAAAAACGGGAUUCGGCAUGACAGUGCCGCUUUAA